UACGUAGGGUGCAAGCGUUGUCCGGAAUUAUUGGGCGUAAAGAGCUCGUAGGCGGUUUGUCGCAUCGAAUGUGUAAACCCGGGGCUCAACCCCGGGCCUGCAUUCGAUACGGGCAGACUAGAGUUCGGUAGGGGAGUCUGGAAUUCCUGGUGUAGCGGUGAAGUGCGCAGAUAUCAGGAGGAACACCGGUGGCGAAGGCGGGACUCUGGGCCGAUACUGACGCUGAGACACGAACGCGUGGGUAGCAAACAGG
rnacentral:rRNA from 1 species